AUUGAACGCUGGCGGCAUGCUUUACACAUGCAAGUCGAACGGUAACAGGCCGCAAGGUGCUGACGAGUGGCGCACGGGUGAGUAAUGCAUCGGAACGUGCCCAGUCGUGGGGGAUAACUACUCGAAAGAGUAGCUAAUACCGCAUACGAUCUAUGGAUGAAAGCGGGGGACCGUAAGGCCUCGCGCGAUUGGAGCGGCCGAUGUCAGAUUAGGUAGUUGGUGGGGUAAAGGCUCACCAAGCCAACGAUCUGUAGCUGGUCUGAGAGGACGACCAGCCACACUGGGACUGAGACACGGCCCAGACUCCUACGGGAGGCAGCAGUGGGGAAUUUUGGACAAUGGGCGCAUGCCUGAUCCAGCAAUGCCGCGUGCAGGAAGAAGGCCUUCGGGUUGUAAACUGCUUUUGUACGGAACGAAACGGCUCUGGUUAAUACCCGGGGCUAAUGACGGUACCGUAAGAAUAAGCACCGGCUAACUACGUG
rnacentral:rRNA from 1 species